CGGGUACAUGAGCGCUAAUAGGGUAAUUUCAUCUCUAAGAACACAUUGUUACCACCUGAGACAUGGACAUAAUUGAAAAUCCUUUUCUAACAGGUGAAACGUAUAAAAAAAUGUAUUAUAAGCGAAUAGGUAACGAAUAGGUAACGAAUGGAUAACAGGGUAUUAACCGAGCGCUGGAACGGGUACAUGCGCGCUAAUAGGGUCAUUUCAUCUCUAAGAACACAUUCUUACCACCAGAGACCUGAACACAAUUAAAAAACGAUUUAUUUCAAGGUGCACCGUAUACCCCGCGCAUUAAAAGCGAA
rnacentral:lncRNA from 1 species